CCCUUGCGUGAUCCAUCCACAAGGAAGAGGUGGAGACAGACGGAAGAGAGAAAGAAAGAGAGCGCGCAAGGGUUUUGUGCAGAUUCAAUUAAGAAGUAGAUAAUUGGUCAUUUUAGAUCAACGUAUGUUUUCACCUAGACGGAUAUAAAUAAAGGUUAUGAUGCAGUUCAUGCUGCUUUUCAGUCGCCAGGGGAAGCUGAGGCUCCAGAAGUGGUAUGUCCCGCUGUCAGACAAGGAGAAGAAAAAGAUCACCAGGGAACUCGUGCAGACAGUGUUGGCCCGGAAACCCAAAAUGUGCAGCUUCCUGGAGUGGCGUGACCUCAAGAUUGUUUACAAAAGGUACGCAAGUUUGUACUUCUGCUGUGCAAUUGAAGAUCAGGAUAAUGAGCUCAUAACUCUUGAGAUAAUUCACCGCUACGUAGAGCUACUGGAUAAGUACUUUGGCAGUGUGUGCGAACUUGACAUAAUCUUUAACUUCGAAAAGGCAUACUUCAUCCUGGAUGAGUUCCUGCUGGGUGGUGAAGCUCAGGAGACCUCGAAGAAAAACGUCUUGAAAGCCAUCGAGCAGGCAGACCUGUUACAGGAGAGGCAGAGUGAAGAUUGGGGAGGUUUAUCAACCGACGAUGUCUUAUAAUUGGGAGAGAUCUGAGGCUUUGACCUCUUAUGCUCCCCAUCCCCCUUCCAGACUAUUGGAAGCCGAGACCCCACGCAGUGUUCUUGAAGAAAUUGGACUGACAUAACCCUGCACUUCCAUCCCAAUACACUCUUUGUUUACUGCCUUUGUUUCCAUGUAACGCUAGCUGUAUUAUGGUUGUCAGUAUUAACAUCCAUCUCACCCACUACUAUUAUUUCUUAUGCAUACGUGAGAUUAUAUUUCCCCUCAAAAUUAGUAUGAGGAACAAAGUGAUUACCAGAAGAUCCAUUUUCAGAUUUCUUUUUUUCUUUUUUUUUUUUUUUUAAAUAAUGCCUUAAGAUAUUUGAAUUGGAUUAGAUGUUUUUUAUGUUUAGUGUCUGUCGUUAUUUUGAGUGUAGUGUGAUUGCACCUUAAGAACAGAAUAACUGACUGCACUUCAUUUUUAAGGGUCAGAGUAAUUCAGGAUAGAGGAGGGGUUAUUCUGGAUUUCGGCAGCUUUUUUAAAUUAAAUACACAGAUACACUUUCAGUUGUUUAGUAUUGUGUUUUUCCCUUGUAGGCUUUCUUAAAGGAAAUGGAUUCAAGGUUUUAGAGAACGUACUCAAAAUUAAAAAUGCAGUUUUAGGACCAACACCAGUUUACAAAUAUAUUGGUACUCUAGUGUAGGAGAAAACUUAUAUUUCAGGGCAUCUUAAGGGUUUACAACCAACAAACACUGUGCUAGUAUUUAAUUAAUAUUAUACUUUUUUUUUUUUAAACUAUUACACAAAAAUAAAACAUUGUGUGAAGACCAGUGUAUUAGAAUAUAAACAACUGAACUGGUAUAUAUAUAAGGGAGGUGUGAAAGGGAUUUGUUAAUGAAACCAAAGAAUUCUAACUGUUGUCAUUUUUUCCUUAGGCAGAUGCAUUACUAUGGGUAAAAACUAUGAGCUGUGUAUAUGGAAGUAAAUAUCUCUUCUCGAUUUAUGGUGUGGACCUGAAAGCACAACUAAAUGUUCAAGAUUACUGCCUGAGACAUGUUUUGAAAUCUUAAAUUUUAAAGUCUUACUGUAUGUAUUUUGUUGUUAAAUACUAACCAUCAGUAACCUCAUAUCAAAAUAUGUUUUUCACAGAUUACAUUUUUUGUUUAUUUCUUUUUUAACCCUACAUUAAUUCAGCAAAACCUUGUGUGUAUUUCCAUGAGAUGGUCUGUUUGUUAAUGUAGUUAAUCUCACCCUCACCCUCCUGCUGGAACAAACCAAUUUGGGUUUACUCUUGGUCAUCACCUUGUAUGUUAUGCAGUGAAAAGCUGAGGUGUGUGUUGUUGUACUUCUGUCUCUGUGAACAAUGUGUUGCAAUGUUUGGUGUUCAAAUGGAAAUAAAGUUUCUUUACACCUUGA